AGUCGUGUGUCUCGAGCCAUGGCGAGACGCGGCGUACGGCUUAAUAUCACGUGGCUAACCUACCCUUAGGACGGGGACAACCCCGGGAAACUGGGGCCUAUCUCCGAUAGGUGAGGACGCCUGGAAUGGUUCUUCAUUGAAAGGGCGUUAAGGCCAUGCUUCUUGACGUUGCCUAAGGAUGGGGCCGCGUCCGAUCAGGUUGUUGGUGAGGUAACGGCUCACCAAACCUAUAACUGGUACGGGCCGUGAGAGCGGGAGCCCGAAGAUGGGCACUGAGACAAGGGCCCAGGUCCUACGGGGCGCAGCAGUCGCGAAAACUCCGCAAUGCGCGAAAGCGUGACGGGGCUACCCCAAGUGCCGUCCGCUGAGGAUGGCUUUUCCUUGGUGUAAUGAGCCAAGGGAAUAAGGAGAGGGCAAGCCUGGUGUCAGCCGCCGCGGUAAUACCAGCUCUCCUAGUGGUAGGGAUGAUUAUUGGGCUUAAAGCGUCCGUAGCCGGUCUGGCAAGUCUUCCGUCAAAUCCAACGACCCAAUCGUUGGACUGCGGAAGAUACUGUUGGGCUAGGAGGCGGGAGAGGCCGACGGUAUCUCGGGGUAGGGGUGAAAUCCUAUAAUCCCGGGAGGACCACCAGUGGCGAAGGCUGUCAGCUAGAACGCGCUCGACGGUGAGGGACGAAAGCUGGGGUAGCGAACCGGAUUAGAUACCCGGGUAGUCCCAGCUGUAAACGAUGCGGGCUAGGUGUUGGGGUGGCUACGAGCCACUUCAGUGCCGCAGGGAAGCCAUUAAGCCCGCCGCCUGGGAAGUACGGCCGCAAGGCUGAAACUUAAAGGAAUUGGCGGGGGAGCACCACAAGGCGUGAAGCUUGCGGUUUAAUUGGAGUCAACGCCGGGAACCUUACCGGGGGCGACAGCAGGAUGAAAGCCAGAUUAAAGGUCUUGCUGGACAAGCUGAGAGGAGGUGCAUGGCCGUCGCCAGUUCGUGCCGUGAGGUGUCCUGUUAAGUCAGGCAACGAUCGAGACCCGCGCCCUUAGUUGCGACCUGUUACGGCUUACCGUUCAGAGCACACUAAGGGGACCGCCGUCGACGAGGCGGAGGAAGGAGCGGGCCACGGCAGGUCAGUAUGCCCCGAAUCCUCCGGGCCACACGCGAGCUGCAAUGGCAGGGACAAUGGGUUCCGACCUUGAAAAAGGGAGGCAAUCUCUAAACCCUGCCUCAGUUGGGAUCGAGGGCUGCAACCCGCCCUCGUGAACAUGGAAUGC
rnacentral:rRNA from 1 species